rnacentral:rRNA from 1 species
AGCAUAUCAAUAAGCGGAGGAAAAGAAACCAACAGGGAUUGCCCUAGUAACGGCGAGUGAAGCGGCAACAGCUCAAAUUUGAAAUCUGGCUACAUCCCGUAGUCCGAGUUGUAAUUUGUAGAGGAUGCUUUUGGUGAGGUGCCUUCCGAGUUCCCUGGAACGGGACGCCAUAGAGGGUGAGAGCCCCGUACGGUUGGAUACCAAGCCUCUGUAUAGCUCCUUCAACGAGUCGAGUAGUUUGGGAAUGCUGCUCUAAAUGGGAGGUAUAUCUCUUCUAAAGCUAAAUAUAGGCUAGAGACCGAUAGCGCACAAGUAGAGUGAUCGAAAGAUGAAAAGCACUUUGAAAAGAGAGUUAAACAGCACGUGAAAUUGUUGAAAGGGAAGCGCCUAUGACCAGACUUGUUUCUGGCAGUUUCGUUAGCCCUCGGGCUGAUUUACUCUGUCCAGUACAGGCCAGCAUCAGUUUGCUGUCGGGGAGAAAGGCUCUGGGAACGUAGCUCCCCCCUUCUGGGGGGAGUGUUAUAGCCCUCUGCAUAAUACCCUUCGGCAGACUGAGGACCGCGCUUCGGCAAGGAUGCUGGCGUAAUGGUCAUCAGCGACCCGUCUUGAAACACGGACCAAGGAGUCAACCUUAUGUGCGAGUGUUUGGGUGUAAAACCCCAGCGCGUAAUGAAAGUGAACGUAGGUGAGAGCUUCGGCGCAUCAUCGACCGAUUCUGAUGUUUUCGGAUGGAUUUGAGUAAGAGCACACAGGGUUGGACCCGAAAGAAGGUGAACUAUGCUUGUAUAGGGUGAAGCCAGAGGAAACUCUGGUGGAGGCUCGCAGCGGUUCUGACGUGCAAAUCGAUCGUCAAAUAUGAGCAUGGGGGCGAAAGACUAAUCGAACCUUCUAGUAGCUGGUUCCAGCCGA